rnacentral:misc_RNA from 1 species
AGUAUACUGAUAGUUAUGUGUAUACAAUUAACAGUAUAUACAUUUGAAAAUAACAUGUUGUAUAAAUCAUAAUAAUAAAAAUUGUAAACAUUUAUACAGUAAAAGUAAGAAGUAAUCAGAUUUGAUGGCUAAUACUAAUCAGGGGUUCAUCGCUGUUCAUGUUGGAGCAGGGCGACAUUCAGAAACCCUAAAAGAACAAUAUCAGAAAUUAUGCCGUCAAGCAUGUAAAGCAGGUAUUCAUAAUCUAAAAAAUGGUGGUAGUUCAUUGGAUGCUGCAGUGGAAACAGUAAUUAUAUUAGAAAAUUCUCCUUUAACUAAUGCUGGAUUUGGUUCCAAUCUAACAUUGGAAGGAACAGUGGAAUGUGAUGCCAGUGUUAUGGAUGGUACUACAUUGCAAUUUGGAGCAGUUGGUGCAGUUAGUGGAAUAAAAAAUCCUAUUUUAUUGGCAAAACGACUCUGUGAACAUCAAGCAGUUAAAAUUGCAUAUGGUAGAAUUCCACCAAGUUUCUUAGUUGGAAGUGGAGCACAUAUUUGGGCACAGGAAAUGGGAAUACAAACUGUACCUCCAGAACAAUUAAUAUCUACGAAAGCACAGAAAAUGUAUAAACAUUACAAAAGAAAAAUAGAGAAUUCUGACACAGAAACUUAUAAGUACACUAAAAGAAGAAUGGAUACGGUUGGUGCUGUAUGUGUUGAUAAAGAAGGAAAUAUUGCUGCAGCUUGUUCUAGCGGUGGCAUAAUUUUAAAAUAUCCUGGGAGAGUAGGCCAGGCUGGGAUGUGGGGAGGUGGUAUAUGGGCAUGUAAAGAUAAAUAUGCCGUAGGAACAAGUACAUCAGGUUGUGGAGAACACCUUGUUCGCACUUCACUUGCACGGACAGCUGCUGAAGCUAUAUCCGAUAGUUCAUGUCCAACUCUUGGCUUACAUCGUGCUAUGAACGUUGAUUUUAUCGAUUCAAAGUUUUUACGCGGACUUGAUCAAAAACUUGGCGGUGUUAUUGCUAUCCGAUAUGCAGCUGAAGAAGGAUUAGGAGAUUUUCUCUGGAGUUAUUCAACUAAUUCUAUGAUAAUAGGUUACAUGAAUUCAUGUGAACAGGCAGCAACGAGUCACAUGGCUGUUCUGUCAGCUGAUGAAGUUGGUAAAAAAGCAAUUGUUGAAGGAAUUUGUUUCAAAAUCAGAUAACAUUAUUACGAAUCGUGAUUACAUGAUACAAAAUGUUAUGUUGUUAUUUUCAUGAAUUAGAAUUGUUCCAACACUCCUUACACAGGCAUUGCAUUAUCUUCUAAUGCAUCAUCUACUAAGGAAAUAUAUCUUUGAAUAAAACAGGAUCUGCUCGAAAUUCAACUGACUGUAAUGGCAUUGACCCAUAAAUUGAAGAAAAUUUAUUUAUGCAU